rnacentral:rRNA from 1 species
GCAAGUCGAACGGUAGCACGGGGAGCUUGCUCCCUGGUGGCGAGUGGCGGACGGGUGAGUAACGCGUAGGAAUCUACCCUAGAGAGGGGGACAACCCGAGGAAACUCGGGCUAAUACCGCAUAAUCUCUAAGGAGCAAAGCGGGGGAUCUUCGGACCUCGCGCUCUAGGAUGAGCCUGCGUUGGAUUAGCUUGUUGGUGGGGUAAAGGCCUACCAAGGCGACGAUCCAUAGCUGGUCUGAGAGGAUGAUC